CGGGUGAGUAACACGUAGGUAACCUGCCCUCAAGACGGGGAUAACGCCUGGAAACGGGCGCUAAUACCGGAUGACCUUAGUUGGGGAAGCACCGGCUAAGGAAAGGCUUUGGCGCUUGAGGAGGGGCCUGCCGCCCAUCAAUUAGUUGGUAGGGUAACGGCCUACCAAGGCGAAGACGGGUAGGGGGUGUGAGAGCACGGCCCCCCACACUGGGACUGAGACACGGCCCAGACUCCUACAGGAGGCAGCAACGGGGAAUAUUGCGCAAUGGACGGAAGUCAGACGCAGCGACGCCGCGUGGAUGAAGAAGGCCUUCGGGUUGUAAAGCCCUUUUCUGUGGGAAGAGGAAGGACGGUACCAUAGGAAUAAGCGUCGGCUAACUACGUGCCAGCAGCCGCGGUAAGACGUAGGACGCGAGCGUUAUCCGGAUUUACUGGGCGUAAAGCGUGUGUAGGCGGCGUGACAAGUUGGGCGUGAAAGCCCCGUGCUCAACGCGGGGAGGCCGCACAAUACUGUCAGGCUAGAGGGCAUCAGAGGGGUGUGGAAUUCCCGGAGUAGCGGUAAAAUGCGCAGAUAUCGGGAGGAACACCGGUGGCGAAAGUGGCACCCUGGGGUGCACCUGACGCUGAGAGACGACAGCUAGGGGAGCGAACAGGAUUAGAGACCCUGGUAGUCCUAGCCGUAAACGAUGGAUGCUAGGUGUGGGAGUGAAGAACUUCUGUGCCGCAGCGAACGCGAUAAGCAUCCCGCCUGGGGAGUACGGCCGCAAGGUUAAAACUCAAACGAAUUGACGGGGACCCGCACAAGCAGCGGAGCGUGUGGUUUAAUUCGAUGCUACACGAAGAACCUUACCUGGGAUUGACAUAUGGGUGGUAGUGAGCCGAAAGGCAAGCGACCCUUCGGGGAGCCUAUACAGGUGCUGCAUGGCUGUCGUCAGCUCGUGCCGUGAGGUGUCGGGUUAAGUCCCGUAACGAGCGCAACUCCUGUCCUUAGUUACAAGUGUCUAAGGGGACUGCCGGCGGGAAGCCGGAGGAAGGUGGG
rnacentral:rRNA from 1 species